CCGGCAUCCGGCAACGCGUGCUCCUAACCACCUAAACAAGGCUGAGAAACCCACCUGACUCGCCCAAGGAAACUGAAGCCCAAGGCUGAAAGUGACCUGCCCGAGGCCCCCCAGAACCACCAGGCGAGCUCUGGACACCUCACCAGCUCUAUGAGCCUCAGAAGACUGGAUCAUAAACCUGGACCCCUUCUUCACAGCCACCAUCGUCUCAUGAGAGAAAGAACUUCUCCCGAGUGGGCAGGCAGCUACCUAUCCAAUGCUUCUCUGCCAUGGAGUCAAGCAUUGACUGGGAAAUCAACAGAUCAUUUGCCUCAAUUCCCCAAGGAAAAAAAAAAAAAGCAGAAAACUGACACUCUGGAAGUUGUAUGGGACAGGCAAGUCACCAGGCUGAGCAGACGGCACUUGAAUUCUGUAUUGCACCGAAACUGGGGGUGAUCACCUUACAGAUGGGGAAACUGAGGAUUGGCACAAGCUGGUCUAGUUUGACCAGCUUCCCAAUGGAGAACUCUUCUGUGCAAUCCACUUACUUCUCUUUAUGAAAGCUGCUGUUUUCCUGUUGGGCCUGGCUGCUUCCUCAGGUUGUCUACAGAGCUAAGCACAAAGUCCCCAGAACCCUUUUCCCACUGUGCUUAGGGCCUAGGUCACAUUCCUUAGAGGGUUCUAAGGGAGGGGGGGGGGGGGCUUUGCAGUGAAACCCAAGCAGAGAUAACGGAGCCACUGAUAUGGAAUGAAAAAUUAGCCCUUAAUCUGAUUAAAUGCUUCAAACGCUCCUUUCUCAUCCUCUCCCAACUUUCUCCUCAUUUUUGCUGGGAGACUUGGUGUUUUUGUUUUGUUUUGUUGUGUGUGUGUUUUGUUUCGUUUUGUUUUGCAGUGCUAGGCCUCAGACCAGAGCCUUACCCAUUCUACAUCCCCAGCUGCUGGAACCCUUGACAUCUCCAAGGCUCAGAUUAAAUAUCCCCGCCCCCUCCCGCUCCAGAAAGCCCUCCACACUCUUUGGUCCAAUCUGCAGAAGGAAAGUAAGAAUUGCAGUAAAGGACGAGCAGGUUGCUGGCUGAGCGUGAGGGCUGAGCACACACGUGUUUAUCUCCACUUACUCCUUCAGGUCCACUGACGCCACAAGUGGUUUAGGAAAAAGUUGUGUGACGUUUAAACUCACGAGGACAAAAUGAAAGAAAGAUAAAAAGUUGAGUGCACACCUCAUAUCAUAUAUGAAAACUAACGAGUGCUGGGUGUGGAGUCUAAUGCCUGCAAUCCCGGCACCCCAGAGACUGAGCCAAGAGAAUGGAAGGUUUCAAGCCUACCUGUGCUACAUAGCAAGACCCUCUCAAACAAAAGAGAGGAUAGAGGAGGAGAGGGAAAGAAAAUUCAAAUGGAUCUAAAUAUAGGGGCGGAAGAGAUGGCCCCACGUACAAGAGCACUUACUCACUAAGAGCACUAGACUGGAGGUCAGGUCCCAUCCAGUAGCCAGGUGCAGUCUCACACAGACCUGUAACUCCAGCACUGAGAGGGGCAGACGAAGGAUGAUUGCUGGAGCUUGUUGGCUGGCUGCCAGCCUAUCAAAAAUACAAGCUCCAAUUUCAGUGAGAGACCCUUCCUCAAAGGAAAUGGGAGGUCUGGAGAGAUGGCUCAGAGGUUAAGAGCACUGGCUGCUCUUCCAAAGGUCCUGAGUUCAAUUCCCAGCAACCAUAGAGUGACUCACUACCAUCCAGAAUGAGAUCUGGUGCCCUCUUCUGGCCU